rnacentral:lncRNA from 1 species
AGGAACAAGGCAAGAGAGUAACACUUACACAUGAUAAACUGCGGAUCGAUGGUGAUCUGUAUUAUUGGGACGAAAGCAAGAACUGCCAGCAAAACUAUUGACCC